rnacentral:pre_miRNA from 3 species
UCUUAUGGAUGAGGAACGAAAGUGAUUUCUGGAGAUAGAAUCUACUCCUGGUGAAUAUGCUGUGAA